UAGGGAAUCUUCGGCAAUGGACGAAAGUCUGACCGAGCAACGCCCGUGAGUGAAGAAGGUUUUCGGAUCGUAAAACUCUGUUGUUAGAGAAGAACAAGGACGUUAGUAACUGAACGUCCCCUGACGGUAUCUAACCAGAAAGCCACGGCUAACUACGUGCCAGCAGCCGCGGUAAUACGUAGGUGGCAAGCGUUGUCCGGAUUUAUUGGGCGUAAAGCGAGCGCAGGCGGUUUCUUAAGUCUGAUGUGAAAGCCCCCGGCUCAACCGGGGAGGGUCAUUGGAAACUGGGAGACUUGAGUGCAGAAGAGGAGAGUGGAAUUCCAUGUGUAGCGGUGAAAUGCGUAGAUAUAUGGAGGAACACCAGUGGCGAAGGCGGCUCUCUGGUCUGUAACUGACGCUGAGGCUCGAAAGCGUGGGGAGCAAACAGG
rnacentral:rRNA from 1 species